UGGGGUGCGGGUCUAAUACAUGCAAGUCGAGCGAACUGAUUAGAAGCUUGCUUCUAUGACGUUAGCGGCGGACGGGUGAGUAACACGUGGGCAACCUGCCUGUAAGACUGGGAUAACUUCGGGAAACCGAAGCUAAUACCGGAUAGGAUCUUCUCCUUCAUGGGAGAUGAUUGAAAGAUGGUUUCGGCUAUCACUUACAGAUGGGCCCGCGGUGCAUUAGCUAGUUGGUGAGGUAACGGCUCACCAAGGCAACGAUGCAUAGCCGACCUGAGAGGGUGAUCGGCCACACUGGGACUGAGACACGGCCCAGACUCCUACGGGAGGCAGCAGUAGGGAAUCUUCCGCAAUGGACGAAAGUCUGACGGAGCAACGCCGCGUGAGUGAUGAAGGCUUUCGGGUCGUAAAACUCUGUUGUUAGGGAAGAACAAGUACGAGAGUAACUGCUCGUACCUUGACGGUACCUAACCAGAAAGCCACGGCUAACUACGUGCCAGCAGCCGCGGUAAUACGUAGGUGGCAAGCGUUAUCCGGAAUUAUUGGGCGUAAAGCGCGCGCAGGCGGUUUCUUAAGUCUGAUGUGAAAGCCCACGGCUCAACCGUGGAGGGUCAUUGGAAACUGGGGAACUUGAGUGCAGAAGAGAAAAGCGGAAUUCCACGUGUAGCGGUGAAAUGCGUAGAGAUGUGGAGGAACACCAGUGGCGAAGGCGGCUUUUUGGUCUGUAACUGACGCUGAGGCG
rnacentral:rRNA from 2 species